ensembl:lncRNA
GGGGAAGUCAGAAGGCAAGGCGGCUCGUGGGUGCAAGUCAGCCUCCUAGGCCCUCAACAGGGUAGAGAAGGAUGGAUCUAGAGGAACAAACAGGAGCCCAGUCAGUUCCAGAGCUGUGAAUUCGGAACUCCACUCUGUGGCAUCAUCCUGGACACAAAGUACUGACCCUCGCCUUCCAGACCUCUGCUUUCACCUGACCAGGGAUUAUCAAGGCACUCUGUCCAAAUAAAUGCAGCGUUCUCUUUAGUAGGAAUUGAGCCUGAGAGCAACUUGAGAAGCUGGAACUUUCUCCUUUAUCUUGUGCUGCCCACAGUGCCCAGCACUGACUUAUAAACAUGCUGUUCAGUAAGUGCUGGGGGAGAGGGAGGAAGGAAUGAAGAGAUGAGGAAAAGGAACUGGAGAGAAAGGCAGAAGAAAGAAGGGGCCAGAUGAGCAAAAAGAAGGAUGACGAGAAGAAGGAAAGAAGGAAGAAGAGGACAGAAACUGGUUACUCUCUCAAAUAAGAAUCAGAAAUUUAUAUUCUGUAAAGUUUGCUCACAUCUACUGUUUGUGUUUUGUUUUGUUUCGCUUUGUUUACUUAGCAUCAGUUCUUUGGUUCACCUGUACUAAGACCAAGAAAGCUUUGUGUAGUUGAGAGUAGAGUUAUUGGUGAGGGCACCAGCAGCUACACCAGCUCCAGAGAGAUUGGGGCUGGAGCUGUGAGAUAGGGGAGCCGGACAGCCAUCCCAUUAAACGUAUCCCUGCACCUAAUCCCUUCCUGUAAUUCACACUGGACAAUCUCUUUACAGCCUGCUAACACCUGGGGCACAACCAAAUCUUCUCCAUUUCUCUCUGUAAUCCCUCCAAAGGUAUUUUCUGAGUUUUAGUCUUUUGUGCUUUAUCCACUGGUUUCUGAGAUCCUGAAUACCUUCCUUUCAACUGCAUUUCAUAGAUAGCUGAAAAGCCUUUUGCUGCCAUACUCCCUACUUUGUACACAUCCUUAAGUCUUUUGUCCUGGCUUCCUUACCUGUCCCAUAAAAUUUAAAUUGAGUCGAUUAGUUUCGAUCAUAGGGCCAAAGAGGCUAAGGUCAAAGAUUAAAUACCAAAAAAAGCUUAUAAAUCUCUGGGCUUAAAAACAUUAGAGCAUAAAAAGAACCUUAACAAUGACUUAGCACCACCCUCUUAUUUUACAGAUGAGAUCAUUAAGGUCCGGAAAGAUCAAGUCUGCUCAGAAACAAACAACUAUACAUGGCCACAGAAUGACCUUUAGUCUUAGGCAAUCAUCUUGAAAAUUCUUGUUUUUCAUUUCCAGAAGUCAGGCAAGAAUGCAGAUUACAUCACGUAAUCACCACCCUCCUGCAGGACUCCAGGAAACCUCAAGCCCGUUUAGGUUCUCUUCCUCUAAUUACCAGUACCUUUCUCACUGAAGUAUUUGUCCUAAUCCUUAACCCUGACUUGCAUUUCUUUAUUUUGUCAACUGAGGAAGAGAAACGCCAUAUAAAGGUCUCAGAUAGCAGGUGGAGGGUAGCGGUGGAGAUGCAAGUGUCCUAGAGACAGAUGGGGUUCAAGUCUCAGCUCUCGGUCACCUCCCAACACUCUUCCUGUGGGCAAAUUUCUUAAGGUCUCUAAGUCUAAGUUUUGUAAUGGGAAAAACACCUACUUUGCAGAGUUUUUGUGAGGGUUGGAUGAGCAGCUCCAAACCCACUUUCCUCUAUCACUAUCUAGACCCUUGUUUGGGACAUGUGUCACAAGUCUAGACUUGCCCCUUUUUCACAGCGACCUCCUGGGUGGGAGAAAUCAAGUCUCCUUUCCUAAUCAAUGACUUCAACUGGAACUGCCUCAGUCCUUCAGGUCAGAGAUGCUCUAACAAUACUGACCCUCAAAAGGGAAGAGAUGAAGAUCUCAAUCCCUUUUAUUCCUAAAAGUUUCUUGACACCUUGUGGAAAUGUGUUUUCGUGCUCCCCAUCGCACGUACACCAACCAGCAACUGCCAUAUACCAAGAGCACAGAGAGGGGCUGUGAUUGUCUGGCCAAAUAAAAUCCUACCCCACCACCGUAUACAUCUGUAUUUUAUGUAUUUUCUUCAUCUUUAUAUUAUAUCUUCUUAUAACAUGGAUCAUAAGUAUUUGGUUCUAUUGUAGACUCAGUUGUGUAUUCUUUUUGUUGAUUACAAUGUAAGAAUUUUCAUAUUGCUACAAAAACAGAUGUGCUUGUUACUAUACAUUCACAUAUCUGAAAAGAGCCAAUAAGUGAUUCUUCCUAGAAAAGGAAGGUCUGGCCAAGCUGACCUUAUAUCUCCAACACCCGAAAGACACCUUUAAAUAGCCGUUAACUUUGCUAUAAAAUAUUCCAACAUUUUUUCUCAUUGGGCAACUCUACCAAAAUGAUAAUAUCAUUUAUUGUGUUGCUAUUCUGUUCUAAACAUUUUUGUAAGUGUUAUGCCCAUUUUUCAGACAAGGAAAUUGAGGUGCAAUGGGGUAAAAUAUUCCGCAAAAUGUCACUCAGCUAGCAGACGACAGAGCCUGGAUUCAUAACAGGUGUAUAUGAUUCUGUAAUUGAUGCCUACAUCAUCUUAACAUACAGAAUUCUGCACCAACGAAAUAAAAGCCAAAUGGCUUAAAAAGCAGUUGUGGCAGAAAGUUUUAAACCUAAGACUGUUAAAGAAAACCAGAGCUGGACAGUAGUUAAAGCUAUAAAAGUAGAUUUUAUUCAGAAACGAUUGCAAUAAACAAAAAAAGAUCUCAGUAUAGAACUGGGCUCAAUUCCAAAAACAGCAUGGACAGGCAAGAGUAGGACCAGUGGAUGGGAAAGUACUAAAGGAUUACUUACAUUUUUCACAGAGGUAGGGUGGGGAUUUCUGUCUAAACUGACUCGACAGAGUUCUUGCUGCAGGCAGGCCAGGGUGAUCAGAUAGCACCUCAGGGAUGCGGGGGGAUGAGGAAUCUUCUCAGGUAUUGAGGAUGAUCAGAUAUCAAGGGUAGGGAGUUCUCCCUUAACCGACUUAGCGACAUUCUUGCUACAACUGGGAGAUACAGGUCCAACAAGGACAGACACCAGAUUCAAAGCCUAGAGGGCUUGAAGGAGGCUGACUGGAGUUUAGUCAAGGAGAGUUUUUGUCGAGACACAGGCAGCGACUGAAGCUCAAAAACUGCGUCCUGGCAGAGAGGAGCUAGAGUGAACUCCCAAGGAAGUUAUGUGCAGUAGGCCACACCUGACAGCGUGGAUGGGCUGCAGGAGCAAUAGAGCCAUUUGGCUGCCUGCAUGAUCAGAGACCUGGCUUUGUGCUCUCACUGACUAUUCGGUCCAGCGUUCGCUGAGACCACAGAAUGGCGGAGCCCAUGAAAACUUUCCAUGAGACAUUCCAUGUUCUAGUCUAUGUUAAAUCCAGUGACAAGCUGAAAGAUACAUAUAAAACGCAAAAGUUGUCAAAAUGACCUUACCUAAGAGCUCUAAUAUUUUAUAAGAAAAGUUUAAAAGAUAGGCAAAUGGAUAAAAAAAGAUGUGGUGUAUGUAGGCACACACACGCACACACACACAAAAUCCUACCAUUUGCAACAACAUGGAUAUAUCUUGAGGACAUUAUGCUAAGUGAGAUAAAUCAGACAAAGAAAGAAAAAUACCAUAUGAUAUUGCUUAUGUCUGGGAUCUAAAAAAGCCAAAUUUAUAGAAACAGAGAGUAAAAUGGCGGUUACCAGGAACUGGGGGUGGGGAAAUAAAGGAUGUAUUGUUUAAGGGGUACAAUCUUGCAACUAGUAGGUAAAUAUGUCCCAGAAAUCUAAUGCACGGGAUAGUGAAUACAGACAACAUUAUUCUAUUACAAUCAUAUAACCUUGCUAAGAGACGAGAUCUUAAUUAUUCCCACCACAAAAAAGAACUGAUAAUUAUGUGACAUGAUAGAGGAGUUAACAUUGCUACAAUGACGAUCACAUUUAACUUAUGUAUGCAGUAUAUAAAUAAUACAUAAAUAUAUUAAAUAUGUAUUUAGUAUAUAAACACCUAUAUAUGUAUUAAAAACAUAUAUUUAAUACAUAAAUACAUAUGUAUUUAAUACAUAUAAUAAAUG